GACGAACGCUGGCGGCGUGCUUAACACAUGCAAGUCGAACGGAAAGGCUCCAGCUUGCUGGAGUACUCGAGUGGCGAACGGGUGAGUAACACGUGGGUAAUCUGCCCUGCACUCUGGGAUAAGCCUGGGAAACUGGGUCUAAUACUGGAUAUGACCUUUCUCCUAAGGGGGUUUGGUGGAAAGUUUUUCGGCGUAGGAUGAGCCCGCGGCCUAUCAGCUUGUUGGUGGGGUGAUGGCCUACCAAGGCGACGACGGGUAGCCGGCCUGAGAGGGUGAUCGGCCACAUUGGGACUGAGAUACGGCCCAGACUCCUACGGGAGGCAGCAGUGGGGAAUAUUGCACAAUGGGCGGAAGCCUGAUGCAGCGACGCCGCGUGAGGGAUGACGGCCUUCGGGUUGUAAACCUCUUUCAGCAGGGACGAAGCGUAAGUGACGGUACCUGCAGAAGAAGCACCGGCUAACUAUGUG
rnacentral:rRNA from 1 species